rnacentral:rRNA from 2 species
CUCUGACAGCUCUAGAGAUAGGGCUUCCCUUCGGGGCAGAGGAGACAGGUGGUGCAUGGUUGUCGUCAGCUCGUGUCGUGAGAUGUUGGGUUAAGUCCCGCAACGAGCGCAACCCUUGUCGUUAGUUGCCAGCACGUUUAGGUGGGCACUCUAGCGAGACUGCCGGCGACAAGUCGGAGGAAGGUGGGGACGACGUCAAAUCAUCAUGCCCCUUAUGUCCUGGGCUACACACGUACUACAAUGGCUGCUACAAAGGGAAGCGAUACCGCGAGGUGGAGCAAAUCCCCAAAAGCAGUCCCAGUUCGGAUUGCAGGCUGAAACUCGCCUGCAUGAAGUCGGAAUUGCUAGUAAUGGCAGGUCAGCAUACUGCCGUGAAUACGUUCCCGGGCCUUGUACACACCGCCCGUCACACCAUGAGAGUCUGCAACACCCGAAGUCAGUAGUCUAACCGUAAGGAGGGCGCUGCCGAAGGUGGGGCAGAUGAUUGGGGUGAAGUCGUAACAAGGUAGCCGUAUCGGAAGGUGCGGUUGGAUCACCUCCUU